GGCUAACGCUGGCGGCGUGUCUUAGCCAUGCAAGUCGAGCGGACUUAUGGGGUAACUUAUAAGUCAGCGGCGGACGGCGGAGUAACACGUAGCUAACCUACCCUCUGGACGGGGAUAACCUACCGAAAGGUGGGCUAAUACCCGAUGUAGUCAUCCUGUAUAGGGGUGAUGAAAGGUGGGCUUCUGUUUACAAGCUCAUGCUGGAGGAGGGGGCUGCGGCCUAUCAGGUAGUUGGUAGGGUAAUAGCCUACCAAGCCGAUGACGGGUAGCCGGCCUGAGAGGGUGACCGGCCCGAGGGGCACUGAGAUACGGGUCCCACUCCUACGGGAGGCAGCAGGCUAGAAAUUUGGGCAAUGGGGGAAACCCUGACCCAGUGACGCCGCGUGCAGGAAGGAGCCCUUCGGGGUGUAAACUGCUGUCGUGUAGGGAGAAGGGUACUAAAGGUGAACAAUCUUAGUACUUGACGGUACUACAGGAGGAAGCCCAGCUAACCUCGUG
rnacentral:rRNA from 1 species